rnacentral:rRNA from 1 species
AUACGGAGGGUGCAAGCGUUAUUCGGAAUCACUGGGCGUAAAGGACGCGUAGGCGGGUUGGCAAGUCAGAUGUGAAAUCCUACAGCUUAACUGUAGAACUGCAUUUGAAACUGCUAACCUAGAGUAUGUGAGGGGGAGAUGGAAUUAGUGGUGUAGGGGUAAAAUCCGUAGAUAUCACUAGGAAUACCGAAAGCGAAGGCGAUCUCCUGGAACAUAACUGACGCUAAGGCGUGAAAGCGUGGGGAGCAAACAGAAUUAGAAACCCUUGUAGUCC